ensembl:lncRNA
CAUGAAACAUAAUCGUUCAGCGUCGAAUAUCUCUAGUCAGUCGAAAUAUCCCGGUUAAAAAUACUAAUAAAAAAAUAUAUAGUAUUCGACAGGUUAGAAACGUGCGAUGUAGUAUAGUGUUUUUUUGUUUUUUUUUUUCAAAGAUGAUGAAAUCGAGACGUCAUCAUCUGCUGCGGAGCCACGAGGAAACAACCGCAACCGUCGCUUCCUUCUCAUCCUCCCGACUGUCGCCUGUCGCGGAGCUUCGACGAAGUCACACCAACUGUACCUGUUAGAAACCCCGUUGGCCUGGUGUCUCCGCCCACCGUUGGACCAACCAAUCAGCCUCCACCCCGACCCCCUCUCUCUCUCUCUCUCUCUCUCUCUCUCUCUCUCUAGAAAAGCUGAUCAAACAAACAAACAAACAUUAAUAGUGCUUAUUAGAUCACCUACUUGGACCAAUUUCCUGUCAACAUCUAUUCUAUCAUAUAACGCCACUUGUUGAUUCCGGUAUAUUAUGCCCAUGUUUGGUUUCUUGACAUGAUUAUAGCCUUUGCCCCAGUUAGUUCAGAUCUUCAGUGUCAUUUUGGCUGUGGCUCUCUUGUGUUUUAGAUUUAAGCUGAAGUCACUCACUCGUGGCGUAAAUAGGGGCCGAGGGAGAAAGUUGUCAUGCUGCAAAACCCUGUCAGAGCAACUCAGGCUGAAGACAUUUUGUCAAAAAUUGUUAGUAACAAGCAACAAAGUCGGAGCAAUUCUGCAAACCUUUCCUGAAGGUAAUGUAAUCGGUUGCAUACAGUACAGUAUGUGAGCCAUCUGUUUGUCACGUGACUGAUGCAUGAUUGCCGCACUGUCUUCACUAAUCUCAUUUAACCCCCCACUUCCUACACAUUUACCCCUUCUGUGAAUGUAGAACCCAAUUGCGCCCUUUUCUUUCCUUCAUCAACAACUGACUAUUCACCGAUCAAACUAAUCACUCUGAUAGGAUCAGUCUCACGUCAUUGUGCUGACCAAUUCAACAAAGUCAAGACAAAAUCCCCUUUUUCUUCAGCUUUGCUGUGGGCAACUAAAAAAACCAAAUCAUUUUUAUAAUUGUUACAUUCACUAAAUCUCUACUAGUAGAGGACAAAAUGGAUGCAUUGGAUGGUUUGCAUUAGCAAAUUCAGACAGUGACCUGUCUCCUAAGGUCCAGAGACAGCCAAGUCCCUUUGUUAUUAAAAUAAUAUAGAGUCAAUCUAUUCCCUAUUUUAAAAUGUUAGGUUGUAGUUGGCAUUGCUGCCAUUUUAUUUCAAUGUGCAGAAUAUAAUCUUUUUUUACCAAAUGGAUUUUGAUAAUCGAUAUUAUAUUUGUUAUAUAAUGUACAUUAAACUAGAGAGAGCACGUGUGAGCAGCUGACCUUACAACCGAUGCCGCCCUGUACCAGCCCGUGCUCUGAAGCCUUCCUCAGCUGUUGUUGACUUCGCUGAGUAACACUGACAGCAGAGUUCUGGGAAACCUACUCACAAACUCUUACUGUCACGCUACACAAACUGCCGUGACAUGUUCCAGCCAGGGGAUAUUUUUAUAGGUUACACGAUGUGCUUGAUAGUUUUUGCUUACAAUUCAAAGUGGAAGGCUGUGAAUGUUGUUGUUUUUCUCAGUAAGGUACAAUAUAGCUUGGGUCCAUAAUUCUAUCCGUGAGUAAAUAUGACCUGAAAUCAUUUUAUUCCAUCUAUCGUAAUGGUCUGGCGGGUGUUGUCAACAUUUCUCUACGUUUUCAAGGUGCAAGUACCAGUAUGCGUUGGCAAUGACUGAUAGGAUUUUGCAGGCUGACAGAAUCGCUAGUGUAGAAGAAGAAAAUAAAGACAAAAGCUUUUCAUGAUUUAUUGAUUGCUGAUUGGUAAAAUGUUAUUAUCUUCAUUUCCCACCUUGUCUUUACUUCCUGCCUGUCCUGCUCCCAUAUCUACAAUUUACUGUCUGUUUCUCCCUCAAAUGUGAAAAGAAGAGUUGACAUCUUUAUCACUACAUAAAGAUGUCAACUUUUCUUUAGGUAACUUUAGGAGCACGCUCCACCACUUUGCCAAGCGGUGACAGUAGCUGCAUGUUUGCGCUUGUCUUGUUCACUGAUAUGCUGUUGCUCACCGGCAUGGAGGUGUUUGUGUGUUGGCUUUUGUCUAGUAUAACAAACAAUCCACCAAAUAUGUUUUCUAUUU